UCCACCCCCCCCCCCAUGCAUAUGAAAUAGGAAUGGAUGGCUUUGCCCCGCUUUUUGUUGGUGCCUUUAUUGUCAUGUAGUUGCCAUAUAUGCAAAUAGGUGGAAGCAGGAUGCGUUAGAGUUUUACAAAAGAAAUGAGAAGCAUUCUGAGAGAUCUGGCAGAGAUCAGCACCAGUGGUCUGGAAUGAUCCUUCAUGCUUCGAUGUACAUGUGACUGAUAAAGAUAUCUUAAGGAAGCAUCCUAUCUGGAUGCAUCACGGCUUGGUACAACAACUGCUCUGCCCAGGACCGUAAGAAGCUGCAGAGAGUUGUGGACACAGCCCAGCGCAUCACGGACACCAGCCUCCCCUCCUUGGACUCUGUCUUUACCUCUCGUUGUCUUGGUGAAGCAGCCAACAUAAUCAAAGACCCCACCCACCCGGGACAUUCUCUCUUCUCUCCUCUUCCAUCGGGCAGAAGAUGCAGGAGCCGGAGGGCACGUACCACCAGACUUAAGGACAGCUUCUGCCCCACUGUGAUAAGACUAUUAAACGGUUCCCUUAUACAAUGAGAUGGACUACGACCUCACGAUCUACCUUGUCGUGACCUUGCACCUUAUUGCACUGCACUUUCUCUGUAGCUGUGACACUUUACUCUGUACUAUUAUUGUUUUUACCUGUACUACAUGAAUGCACUCUGUACUAACUCAAUGUAACUGCACUGUGUAAUGAAUUGACGUGUACGAUUGGUAUGCAAGACAAGUUUUUCACUGUACCUCGGUACAAGUGACAAUAAUAAACCAAUAAACCAUUUAAAAUCAUGAAGGGUACAGACAGAGCAACUUACUCUGUUACAUGAAUCUAUCUAUCUACAGAACUAUAGUGCCCUAUCUCUGGAAUCAUUAUGGUCAAUCGCUUCUGUACCUCCUCACAUUUCUUAGCGUUAAAUUUCAUCUGCCACCUUUCUGCCAAAACCACCAGUCUGGCUACAUCUCGAGUUCCAUUACUGUUCUACUCAUAGCUCACUCAGUAUACCUCCAAGUUUUGCAAAUUUGGAAAUUCUGCCCUGUACUUAGUCAUUAAUUUAUAUUAAGGAGAGCAGUGGUCCUAAGAACCUCCAGUGUACCCUUCUGUCCAGUGUGAAAAAUUAACCUUCACUCCUCUGUUAGAGAGCCAAUCCACACUGCCACAGCCCCUUUUAUUGCAUGACCUUUAGUCAUGAUGACAGCUUAUUUUGUGAUAUUAUCUAACUCUUUUUGACAUCCAUAUAUAACAAAUUUCCCUGAACAAUCCUCUUUGCUACUUCAUCAAAAAUAACCUUUAAGUUAAUUAGGUUUGAUUUGUCUUUAAACACAUCAUUGCUAGCUAAUUCUACCCUGAUUAUUGUCAUUAGAACUUCCCCCAUCGCUGUGGUUAAAUUGACUGGUCAGCAGUUACUGGGUUGAU